CGUUAUUUUCUAUCAUGAUGAGAAAAUAUAUCGAACCACAAUUUUUAUAGGAAGAGCCGGAAGAGGUAUGGCAAGGCCCUUACUCAUAAAAAAGAAGAGUUUGGUUUUGUUGUCGGUGCUUAUAACUGGUUCUACUGAAGAUGAAAAUACG
rnacentral:snoRNA from 1 species